rnacentral:lncRNA from 10 species
CUGAGACCUGGUGCAAUGGAAUCAGAUUCCCUGGUAGCUGCUUUUAAUGGUGACAGAUUCUCUGAAACAGAAAAAGAUUGAAUUGAGUCUGUCUCCCUGGAGUCGUCCUGCUCUGGGAGAUGCAGAGGGAGGGCGGCAGGAGGGAGGACAGUGGGAGGCCUCUGUUGGUCAAUUGCUAGGCUGCUGUCACCAGAUGGUGGAUGGCGUUUGUACAGCACUGGCCAAGGGCCCAGCUCAGCAGGGCCAGAGCCUCAGGUCAUGUCGCAGGUGAGCAAAGCAGCGUGGAUGGAAGACGAAGAUCUUCGUCCCACGGAGGGCUUGCUGUGCGCCCCGCAGGACGCAGAUCACCGGGAAGAGCAGGAAGCAGAAGCGCAGGAAAGCCAAUGCUGUGACUGAGGCGUGGCCAGCAAGCCAGGCCCUCCAGCCACACCCUGCUCCAAAGGGGCUCCGACAGGAUGGACUGAUGAUUUCCAAGAGAGAACAUGCUUUUUAUCUUCUAUGGAAUUUUGCUACCAAAGAGCCUCCCAGCUACCUGUGCCCUUCCCUAACCUGACAAUCUUAAUUCCCCCAUGAAACUCCUCCAUCGCGGACAUUUGGACAACUCCAGGCUGAGUUUUUCCUAAGGCCACUCUGGCCUUGUGCGUCUCUUCUUUGCUAAGCUGUGUGCCAGCCGCCAGCCCACAUCUGGGUUGUACCAUGAUCCUAACUCCUCACCUGAACACAGCAUUUAACAGACUGAAACGUGCCACUCUGGAGCUGGGGACUUCAAGCCACAUUUCGCCUGCAGCCCGAUCGCCUUCAAUCUUUAGCAAAAUCCUCUUUCUCAUGCAAAACAGUGCAGUCGUAACUUUUAAAAUAUUUUUUAGAAACUUUCUCUAGAGCCUCCACCACAUGGCCACAGCCUGAGACUUUGAAAUAAUGAAACAAUUAAAUGAUGUUUUCAUCAUUUCUGAGACUUGCCCAUUAUCACGAAGCUGAAAUGGCCAUUUUUUUAUAAGUCAAGGAAGGACAGGCAGUUUCAAAUGAGUUGGCUAAGACAUACGCCAAAUUCAUAGAAAAUAGAAAUGAACUAUGACUACAGAAUGGAAGCAACCACAGAAAUAUUAGCAGGAUUUUAAGUAUUAUCCCAAUCAAGUACUAAUAGCUAAGUGAGGUCAUUUUUUGGAUACCAUUCCUGGUCAAAGCUAGGAAUGAUGUGUGUUCCAGGCUGGACCCUCCAGGCAGAGGCACCGGGAUCCCACGCUGUUUCUGGGUUGGCCAUUAACCUGCCCCUUGACCUGACAGCGUUUCUCUCUCUUCUCUCUCUACACUUCUCUUCUGAUCUUUAGAUCGAUUUUCCUCCAAGUGACAAUGUCCAUAAAGAGAGAGGGAGGUGGAAAUACAGGCUGUCACAUUUCAGCUCUUUGAGGUGCCUCUAAAGAUGAUGUCAGAGAACAGUAAGUGGCCCACAAAUGUGCAGCAUCUGUUCCGAGCCUCCUGAAGCCGCCCGGACAGGCAGCAGUACGACCCUGCAAGGCCACAGGGGAGCCAGGGGGUUCUCGCUUUCUUUU